GAUAGAACGGCGUCGGUCGGAACGGGUGCUCGUACUGUCGCGUGAUUCAAAGCAACCCUGUAUAGAUUAUUUUGCAUUGGUGCGAACAGUUCGAUUCGGGCACGCAAGUAAUUCGGCAUCGGUCAGCUGUUUUUCCAUCCGCAGUUUACGGCGCGCUUUUCCGGAUGCUGUCCCUGUAGGGUUCCACCAAACGUUAACUAAGCUUGUUUGUUUGCUGCCCAGUAGUUACAACGAAUGUAAAUUCAUCCUCCCACGGAAAUAGAUGCAACGGUCUGUGUAAACGUGUUGGGCCUGAAUUAAAUGAGAAAAGCCAUUAAUCAUCAGUGGCCAUAAAUUUGCAAUCGAUUUUUUAUUGAUGUGGUAAACACUAGCCGACAUGAAAGGUGCAAUCACGUGUAAGCGAAUCGUCAGUCACGCGUGGCUGAAAGUUAUUCAGAAAUCGUGAAAUAGAUCAUGUGUUAGUCACGCAACUACUGUAUUCACC